rnacentral:rRNA from 1 species
UACAGAGGUCCCAAGCGUUGUUCGGAUUCACUGGGCGUAAAGGGUGCGUAGGUGGCCAGGUAAGUUCGGUGUGAAAGCUCGGAGCUCAACUCCGAAAAGGCAUUGAAUACUAUCUGGCUGGAGGGUCGGAGGGGAGACUGGAAUUCUCGGUGUAGCAGUGAAAUGCGUAGAUAUCGAGAGGAACACCAGUGGCGAAGGCGAGUCUCUGGACGACACCUGACACUGAGGCACGAAAGCUAGGGGAGCAAACAGG